rnacentral:lncRNA from 1 species
AGCCUUCUUGUAAGUAUUCUCAUAAAAGUGUUUUUCAUGGAGCUUGGAGCGGAACCUCUGUGCAUUAUAAGAACUGGUGACUGGCUCUUUGUCUUUCCUCUUCCUUGAGGACGCAAUAGUUUUUGGUGCCAUUACGGUGAAUAGAAAAAUAACAAGUAAAGCGGCUAACACUAAACUUAAAAUUUUUACUCGUCCUUGAGCAAAUUAGAGAAUUACAAAGAGGAAGACAGAGAGUAAAAGAUGAAGAAAACUAAAAUAAUGAAGUAAAAUUAAAUUAAAUUAU